GACCCAGUUGCGGAGGGUCCCCGCCCGUGACUAAUAAUCCAAGAUGCUGAUAAAUGUGGGGUCGCUCGUUCAAUUCGAGCCUGGGUCA